GAUAUGGACUCUCCGAAAAGAUUACGCUGUUAUCCCUAAGGUAAGUUAAUCUUAUAAUCAAAAAUUCUGGAUCAAAAAAACAUAAAUUAAUGAAAAAAAAUAUUAAAAGUUAAAUAAAUUUUAAUGUCACCCCAACAAAACUUUAUAUUCUAAAAAAUUAUUUAAUAAACAAAAAAUAAAAAUUAAUAAAUAAAGUAAACUUCUAUAGGGUCUUCUCGUCCUAUAAAAAAAUUUUAGCUUUUUAACUAAAAAAUUAAAUUCAAAAUAAUUAAAAAAAGAAAGAUUAUUUUUCAUGAAACCAUUCAUACUAGCCUUCAAUUAAAAGACAAAUGAUUAUGCUACCUUCGUACAGUUAAAAUACCGCAGCCUUUUAAUUCUUAAAAAUCAAUGGGCAGGCCUGAUCUUAAAUUAAGCUCAAAAGACC
rnacentral:rRNA from 1 species